GAGUUUGAUCAUGGCUCAGGACGAACGCUGGCGGCGUGCCUAACACAUGCAAGUCGAACGGAACUAUAUAUGGAAGUUCUUCGGAAUGGAAGUAUUUAGUUUAGUGGCGGACGGGUGAGUAACGCGUGAGUAACCUGCCUUUCAGAGGGGGAUAACGUUCGGAAACGAACGCUAAUACCGCAUAACAUAUAUAUGUCGCAUGGCGUGUAUAUCAAAGGAGCAAUCCGCUGAAAGAUGGACUCGCGUCUGAUUAGAUAGUUGGUGGGGUAAUGGCUCACCAAGUCGACGAUCAGUAGCCGGACUGAGAGGUUGAACGGCCACAUUGGGACUGAGACACGGCCCAGACUCCUACGGGAGGCAGCAGUGGGGGAUAUUGCACAAUGGGCGCAAGCCUGAUGCAGCAACGCCGCGUGAGGGAAGACGGUUUUCGGAUUGUAAACCUCUGUCUUUGGUGAAGAAACAAAUGACGGUAGCCAAGGAGGAAGCCACGGCUAACUACGUGCCAGCAGCCGCGGUAAAA
rnacentral:rRNA from 1 species